UGGGGAAUAUUGCACAAUGGGCGCAAGCCUGAUGCAGCCAUGCCGCGUGUGUGAAGAAGGCCUUCGGGUUGUAAAGCACUUUCAGCGAGGAGGAAGGGUAGUGUGUUAAUAGCACAUUGCAUUGACGUUACUCGCAGAAGAAGCACCGGCUAACUCCGUGCCAGCAGCCGCGGUAAUACGGAGGGUGCAAGCGUUAAUCGGAAUUACUGGGCGUAAAGCGCACGCAGGCGGUUUGUUAAGUCAGAUGUGAAAUCCCCGCGCUUAACGUGGGAACUGCAUU
rnacentral:rRNA from 1 species